CCUGAGUAGUUUAUUUUAAGAUAUCAUUAGUUGUUGAUUCAUUGAUUUGCCUCAUGCUUGAUGCGCUGAGCAGCAUGAACUUGUAACUGAUUUUUUCUGGUUUAAGAAAAUAAUAGAGAGCCAAUAUUUGACUUGGGUACCACCACCACACCAAUAUCUGCUUUAUUGUGGUUGGAUUAUGUGUUAAUAAUAAUCGGAAUUUCCUUAGAUUUCCCCGUCAUCAUCUAAUUUUCUAUUCCUAAAGUUUGAUACAAAUCUCAAACGUUAUACUGGACGGACAAAUACAAGUUUGUUUAAAUCUGGUGAGAGUCGGAGUCGGAG
rnacentral:lncRNA from 1 species